UACGUAGGGGGCAAGCGUUGGUCCGGAAUCAUUGGGCGUAAAGAGCGUGUAGGCGGCCCGGUAAGUCCGCUGUGAAAGUCCAGGGCUCAACCCUGGAAUGCCGGUGGAAACUGUCGGGCUAGAGUCCGGAAGAGGCGAGUGGAAUUCCUGGUGUAGCGGUGAAAUGCGCAGAUAUCAGGAGGAACACCAAUGGCGAAGGCAGCUCGCUGGGACGGUACUGACGCUGAGACGCGAAAGCGUGGGGAGCAAACAGG
rnacentral:rRNA from 1 species